GGAGGGGACUUGUGUGGAGUGUUAAGCCAAAUUUGUUGGCAUUAAAACCACUUUUUUAUCACUUAUUCCUGCCGAAAUAUACUUAAUCCAAAAAUCAGAAGGGGAGGGAGUAGUUGUUUUAUGAAGUACCUCUAAUAAACCUCUAAAUCUUUUCCUUAGCAAUGGUUUGUUGUUGCAUACAGAUAAAAAUUAAAUUACUCUCUAUAUCUAGAGUCAGGAACCACA